GACGAACGCUGGCGGCGUGCCUAAUACAUGCAAGUCGAGCGAUGAAGGUUGGUACUUGUACCGACUGGAUGAGCAGCGAACGGGUGAGUAACGCGUGGGGAAUCUGCCUUUGAGAGGGGGACAACUUCUGGAAACGAUUGCUAAUACCGCAUAAAAUUUUUAAACACAAGUUUUAAGAUUGAAAGACGCAAUUGCUUUAACUAAUGAAUAUCUCGCGUCGGCUUUAGCAGUUGGGUAGGGAAAGGCCCAACAAGGCGAUGGUACAUAACCGACCUGAGAGGGGGGUCGGCCACAACUGGACUGAGACAAGGCCCAAGCCCCUACGGGAGGCAGCAGGAGGGAAUCUUCGGCAAAGGACGAAAGGCUGGCCGGGCAACGCCGCGGGAGGUGAGAAGGUUUUCGGAUCGGAAAACUCUGUUGGUAGGGAAGAACGAUAGGGGGAGUUGAAAGCUCAUCAAGUGACGGUAACUACCCAGAAAGGGACGGCUAACUACGUG
rnacentral:rRNA from 1 species